rnacentral:rRNA from 1 species
AUUGAACGCUGGCGGCAGGCCUAACACAUGCAAGUCGAACGAGUGGCGGACGGGUGAGUAAUGUCUGGGAAACUGCCUGAUGGAGGGGGAUAACUACUGGAAAAGGUAGCUAAUACCGCAUACCAUCAGAUGGACCCAGAUGGGAUUAGCUAGUAGGUGGGGUAACGGCUCACCAAGGCGACGAUCCCUAGCUGGUCUGAGAGGAUGACCAGCCACACUGGGACUGAGACACGGUCCAGACUCCUACGUGAGGCAGCAGUGGGGAAUAUUGCACCAUGGGCGCAAGCCUGAUGCAGCCAUGCCGCGUGUAUGAAGAAGGCCUUCGGGUUGUAAAGUACUUUCAGCCGGGAGGCGUUACCCGCAGAAGAAGCACCGGCUAACUCCGUGCCAGCCGCCGCGGUAAUAC